CAGAAGAGGAGGCCGCAGAAGCGCGCGGCUCUGCGGACCCAGAUGGAGCCAGCAGCGGCCGCAGCCCCAGGGGCUGAGCAGGCCUCCCAGAGGGCGAGGGAGUUCAAGGGCCUGGGGGCCCACACAGUGCAGUCAGGCCCACGUGCCUUGUCCCAGAGCUUUGCAGACAAGAACCUGCUACCCCUGACACCCCGGCAGCUGGCAGGUAAGGGCUCAGGACUGGAAGCUGGGAGGAAAACCAGGGGGUGCUCAGAGCAGAAUGCAACCGACUUGGCUGCCCAGGGGCUGGGAAGGCUGUGAGAAGCCAAGCCAGUGAUUGUAUUGGAACCUUCUCUCCCUGCCAGUCAGACUUGCUCAUCUCUGCUACCCCAGGGUUCACUGCUGGGGGUGGGUGGGGGAGUGUGAAGAAGGGAUGGAUGGAUGGAUUGGUGGAUAGAAAGCAUUUAGAGGAGUUCCUGUCGUGGCUCAGUGAUUAACGAAUCUGACUAGGAACGAUGAGGUUAUGGGUUCGAUCCCUGUCCUUGCUCAGUGGGUCAAGGAUCCGGUAUUGCUGUGGGCUGUGGUGUAGGUUGCAGAUGUGGCUCAGAUCCAGCGCUGCUAUGGCUCUGGCAUAGGCUUGGCGGCUACAGCUCCGAUUAGACCCCUAGCCUGGGUGUGGCCCUAGAAAAGGCAAAAAGACAAAAAAAAAAAAAGAAAGAAAGAAACAAAGAAAGUAUUUAGAUAGUGGAUGGAUGGAUGGUGGAUGAAUGAACAGAAUGGAAGGAAGAAGGGAAACUGGGAGAAAGGAUGGAAAAAAAGAAUCUGAGGUCCCCACGCUGCUGGGGUUUGGGGCUGUGGGGGCUGUGAGUAGGGGUGGAAGGAAUCCCAAUGCCCUUGCCAAGAUCGUGCCCUGAUAUUGGCAGGGACCCCUCAAAGCAGAAUCAUUCUAUUCAUCAUCAGUGAUUUUCAGUACCUGCUAUGUGCCAGGCGCCAGCAGCGCUCAAGGAGCCCUCAGGCACUGUCUCCAGGGCCAGACUGCUGGCGUCCAAAGCCCAGCAUUACCCCUACUGGAGACAUGACCUUGGACAUGAGUUUUUAAUGUUUUUCAUAUAAACAUGUCCAAACGUGAGUUUUCAACACGAGAAUUGAAUGGACACGUAACAAGUGCCAACACACAGCAGCCACUGUUUUCUUUACAUUGUUAUAAUACCCAGGGGGUUGGUGGAUUCCAGUCUUGUCUCAUCCGGGCCACAGUGGGCGAAUCUCAGUGUUCCUGUGUGUGCUCUUUACCUGCUGCCUUUCCCCCUCCCGGCCCCUAGCG
rnacentral:lncRNA from 1 species